UCAUUUAGUACAUUCACCUCAAUAGAGUUUUCCCUUCAUUCACAGGGACCUACCCAAGGUAGUCCAGCUUGCGCCGCGCCUAAUGGUCCCGUGGUAGUAAACACUCCCCACGGCAAUCCACGUCGGCACCCAAUCCCGCACGGGCGAGCAACUGUCGCGUAGGCCAACUCCGGAGUGCCGGCUUGUAGGGAGCUACCCUCACAAGCGUGUGCGAAUGAGCACAAUGGCAAGCAAGCAAAGUCCACAGUCCAACAUGUCUCAAUUAUCAUGUUUUAGCUCACAAUAUUCUCGCUCUCGAUCCUUGGAUCGGAAUUUCAAUAUAAUAAAUAGUAACAACAACUAGAAUCCACUAGUUUAGUAAGCAUGCAAGAGUAAUGCUAAUUUAUAUAUAGCAUUAGAAUCUUUCCACUAUCAUGGAGGCAUAUAGCAUGUCAUUGUUCUCUACUUUAGAGUUCAGAGAAUGUCAUUGCUCUCACUCUAUAGGAACAUACUAAGAAUCAUUCAACUGAAUUAAACAUGAACAUAAAGACUUUAUGCAUGAACGUUCUCUACUUCAUAGAGAUUUAAUUCAAUUAUGUAUUAACACAAAGUACACAAUUAUGCCAAUUCUAUGGUACAUAUAGAACAUAGGGGAGCUCCACUUGCUCUGGUUAGGUCAAACCCACCUAUUACACAGCUCAAAACGGUCCAACAGAAGCUCUAAACUCAACUCAAACGGUCCCUGGACCUGCUGAAAACAAAACAUCAAACCGCAUCGAAGCAAUUACUUAAGAAUCCGAUUUCGGCUCCAAUCACACAUAGUAUGAAGUAAUAACUCAAUUCCCUGCUUCGACUAGCUUAAUACCUCAGGUUAAGCUUCCAAAAGGCCCUCCAAUGCCAGUCGAAGACAGUCCAAGGGUCAAUUACCCUCUCGCUGCGAACAAAAUCGAAACGACAUCAAUAUAGUCGAUUAUAAGCUAUACUAGUCAAAUUCUAGCAAUUUCAGCUUUCUAACUGAAAUUCUUGCUUACCUCAGGUUAGAACACCUUCUAAACCAGCCUCAAAAGGUACACGUUCAGCUCAAAGAAGCUCGAAGACCUGCUGCGAAAAAACAAUUUCCAAACUGCAUCAAUUUGAUCGGAUAACCCGCGUAUAGUCCGAAAUAGCUUCAUAAAUAGCAAAACAUCUCUAAUAAGCUUCAAAGUAGCUUAUCCCUGGUCUAAGGAGGUUCAUUCACAGCUAAUUAACUCAUAUUUAAUUGCUGAAAACUCAGUCUAGCACAGCCAAGAGCAAAAAUCCGAAAUCGCUACUCAAAUCGACGAAUAGAACGUCGGUAACGACAAAAGUGAGUCGAUUACCUUCUUAAGCUUCCAACCAGUGACCUGCUGAUCCAGGGCUGCGAAAACCUGUCCAAAACACUCCCUCACACGUCCACAAGGGCUCCACAACGCUCGCAACCAGCGAAGAACACGCGAUGCGACGGAAACGAGCGAAAUCGGCGACUUCUUUGUAGAGAGAGAAAAA
rnacentral:lncRNA from 1 species